GGUACCUCAAACUUCUUUACCUUCAAUGAACUGAAAAACAGCAACAAGUCACACAGACUCAGUCUAUCGACACUUUGAUUUUAUUUGAGAGAAAAAUAAAUGCAGAGAAAGGAAAAAUUUUCAGUGAUUAAAAAAUCAAAAAUUGACUUCCUUUUAUAGCCAUUUUCAGCAAGGAACAUGUCUGUUCAGUGAAAUCUGUUCAG
rnacentral:misc_RNA from 1 species